rnacentral:rRNA from 1 species
AUUGAACGCUGGCGGCAUGCCUUACACAUGCAAGUCGAACGGUAACAGGUCUUCGGAUGCUGACGAGUGGCGAACGGGUGAGUAAUACAUCGGAACGUGCCCGAGAGUGGGGGAUAACGAGGGGAAAGCUUUGCUAAUACCGCAUACGAUCUCAGGAUGAAAGCAGGGGACCGCAAGGCCUUGCGCUCACGGAGCGGCCGAUGGCAGGUUAGGUAGUUGGUGGGAUAAAAGCUUACCAAGCCGAAGAUCUGUAGCUGGUCUGAGAGGACGGCCAGCCACGCUGGAAUUGAGACACGGCCCUGACACCUACGGGAGGCAGCAGUGGGGAAUUUUGGGCAAUGGGCGCAAGCCUGAGCCAGCCAUGCCGGGUGCAGGAUGAAGGCCUUCGGGUUGUAAACUGCUUUUGUACGGAACGAAAAGACUCUGGUUAAUACCUGGGGUCCAUGACGGUACCGUAAGAAUAAGCACCGGCUAACUACGUGCCAGCCGCCGCAGUAAGAC